AUUGAACGCUGGCGGCAUGCUUUACACAUGCAAGUCGGACGGCAGCACAGAGAAGCUUGCUUCUUGGGUGGCGAGUGGCGAACGGGUGAGUAACAUAUCGGAACGUACCGAGCAGUGGGGGAUAACUAAUCGAAAGAUUAGCUAAUACCGCAUAUAUUCUGAGGAAGAAAGCAGGGGACCAUUUGGCCUUGCGCUGUUUGAGCGGCCGAUAUCUGAUUAGCUAGUUGGUGGGGUAAAGGCCUACCAAGGCGACGAUCAGUAGCGGGUCUGAGAGGAUGAUCCGCCACACUGGGACUGAGACACGGCCCAGACUCCUACGGGAGGCAGCAGUGGGGAAUUUUGGACAAUGGGCGCAAGCCUGAUCCAGCCAUGCCGCGUGUCUGAAGAAGGCCUUCGGGUUGUAAAGGACUUUUGUCAGGGAAGAAAAGGGCGGGGUUAAUACCCCUGUCUGAUGA
rnacentral:rRNA from 1 species